CUACGGGGGGCACCAGGCGAGAAAACUUUGCAAUGUGCGAAAGCACGACAAGGUUAAUCCGAGUGGUCUCUGCUAAAGGGACCUUUUGACAGUCCUAGAAACACUGUUGAAUAAGGGGUGGGCAAGUUCUGGUGUCAGCCGCCGCGGUAAAACCAGCACCCCAAGUGGUCAGGAUGAUUAUUGGGCCUAAAGCAUCCGGAGCCCGCUUUGCCAGUUUUCGGUUAAAUCCAUAUGCUCAACAUAUGGGCUGCCGGGAAUACUACAAAGCUAGGGAGUGGGAGAGGUAGACGGUACUCGGUAGGAAGGGGUAAAAUCCUUUGAUCUAUUGAUGACCACCUGUGGCGAAGGCGGUCUACCAGAACACGUCCGACGGUGAGGGAUGAAAGCUGGGGGAGCAAACCGGAUUAGAUACCCCGGUAGUC
rnacentral:rRNA from 1 species